UUUUUUUUUUUUUUUUUGGCAAGGAGGUUUUUUUUUUUUUUUUUUUUUUU
rnacentral:misc_RNA from 1 species